AGUUUGAAUUGUUUGCAUCAAGAUGAUGUGUUUAAAACAUAGUUUGGUUGUUAUAUUUUUAAUGUUUACUUUUAUAAUGUCUUCAGCUAGUCAAUGUCAAAGUCCUGACGAUGAAGUUAACAUUUUGAAAAAAGUUGCUGGUGCACUGGAUUGUACACUGCACGAAGUAGCUGAACCUAUUAUUGACAAGGCAAGUUCAUUGGUCGAAACAUUAGGUGAUAAUAGCUUGAUUUCAACAAUUCAGGGAAAUGUUCAAACUAUACAAGAUAAAAUUGGACGUUGAUUUUAAGGAAUAUUACAAAGUUGGAUAGAAAAAGCGGUAAGGUAUUGUUCGAUCUACUCUCAAGAAGCCUACAUUGUACGGAAAAUAAUAACUUCUCCCAACUCGGUUUUCUCUCUGAGAGAUAAGAUUUUAAAAACAAUAAUAACAUAUUAAAAUUUCGAAUACGAAAUGCGUCUUUGA